CGGAUUGGCAUGGGCGAAAGCCUGAUCAGCCUGCCGCGUGUGUGAAGAAGGCCUUUUGGUUGUAAAGCACUUUAAGUUGGGAGGAAGGGCAUUAACCUAAUACGUUGGUGUCUUGACGUUACCGACAGAAUAAGCACCGGCUAACUCUGUGCCAGCAGCCGCGGUAAUACAGAGGGUGCAAGCGUUAAUCGGAAUUACUGGGCGUAAAGCGCGCGUAGGUGGUUUGUUAAGUUGAAUGUGAAAUCCCCGGGCUCAACCUGGGAACUGCAUCCAAAACUGGCAAGCUAGAGUAUGGUAGAGGGUAGUGGAAUUUCCUGUGUAGCGGUGAAAUGCGUAGAUAUAGGAAGGAACACCAGUGGCGAAGGCGACUACCUGGACUGAUACUGACACUGAGGUGCGAAAGCGUGGG
rnacentral:rRNA from 1 species